rnacentral:rRNA from 1 species
AGCGAACGCUAGCGGCGGGCUUAACACAUGCAAGUCGAGCGCGAACUUCGGUUCGAGCGGCGAACGGGUGAGUAACACGUAGAUUACGUACCUCUUGGCGGGGAACAACCCAGGGAAACCUGGGCUAAUACCGCAUAUGUCCUUCGGGAUGAAAGGCUUCGGCCACCAGGAGAUCGGUCUGCGGCCCAUUAUCUAAUCCUAGUUGGUGUGGUAACGGCACACCAAGGGUACGAUGGGUAGCUGGUCUGAGAGGAUGAUCAGCCACACUGGAACUGAGACACGGUCCAGACUCCUACGGGAGGCAGCAGUGGGGAAUAUUGGACAAUGGGCGAAAGCCUGAUCCAGCCACGCCGCGUGUGUGAUGAAGGCCUUCGGGUUGUAAAGCACUGUCGGGAGGGACGAAGCCUUCGGGUUGACGGUACCUCGCAAGAAAGCACCGGCUAACUUCG